UAAAAUAACUCUUUAAGGGUACGAAAAUAUUAAAGUUACAAAAAUAAAAAGAAGAAAAACCUUUGGGUAUCGCAAGAAACAGAGGCCAGUGCGUGAAUGUGUUGUUGAUGGCGGUGAUAAAAAGAGAAACCUCGUUGUUGUGCGGUGAAUCAGCGGCAGAAGCGUAGCCUCAGUUGCGCAGUGAUCGAAGCGGAAAACAGAAACCUCAACAAGAAUCAGACAGAAAGUAGUAAGAUGAAUAGACGAAUUAGCAAACAGAGUAAUAUUGUUGUAAGAGACAAUAACAACCCAAAUAUAUAUACGCGCCCGCGGGAAUAAGUGUUCAACGACGAAUAAUUUGGUUGGGUGAUCUGAAUUACCGUAUCAGCUUGUCAUAUGAAAAAACAAGAGAACUUAUCUCAAAAAAGCAGUGGUCAAAAUUGGUUGAAAGAGACCAGUAGAAUCCUGAAUCAAGAUUUUCUCCAACACAGAAGGCCAUUGUGCUUGUUUUCCGCAGGUAUGUUGAGGGUUGUGUUGAGAAGGUGCUAGACUUGCAAUCAGAAAAGGAGUCAUUUAUCACAGCACAGCUAGUAGUCCCAUCCAACCAAGUAUGUGUUUUGUUGGAGAAAGAAUUGGCGCAAUUGUCCAAGAAAUGCGGAAUGCCACAAGGACUAGCAUUAGAAUAGUUGGGAAUGCUCAGGUUCCAAAGUGUGCAUCAUAUAAUGAUUAAGUGGUACAGGUGGAGAUAUUAUUCAUUAUUUGUAUUUAUAAUCAAUAGAUGCUGAAGAAUGCUUUAUAUUUUCUCAGCAUGUAAUUUUGUGUAUUAUGUGUAAAAUGCUUCAUAUGAUAUAAGAGUUCGUGUUUGUUUCCUA